CAGUCGCCGCGGUAAUACGUAGGGUGCAAGCGUCAAUCGGAAUUACUGGGCGUAAAGCGUGCGCAGGCGGUGUUGUAAGACUGAUGUGAAAUCCCCGGGCUCAACCUGGGAACUGCAUUGGUGACUGCAACGCUGGAGUGCGGCAGAGGGGGAUGGAAUUCCGCGUGUAGCAGUGAAAUGCGUAGAUAUGCGGAGGAACACCGAUGGCGAAGGCAAUCCCCUGGGCCUGCACUGACGCUCAUGCACGAAAGCGUGGGGAGCAGCAGGAUUAGAUACCCCUGUAGUCCCUGUCUCUUAUACA
rnacentral:rRNA from 1 species